rnacentral:tRNA from 1 species
GCCCCAGUAGCUCAAUGGGUAGAGCGGCGGGCUGUUAACCCGUAGGCUGCAGGUUCGAGUCCUGCCUGGGGCG